rnacentral:rRNA from 1 species
UACGGGGGGGGUAAGCGUUGUUCGGAAUUACUGGGCGUAAAGGGCUCGUAGGCGGCCAACUAAGUCAUACGUGAAAUCCCUCAGCUUAACUGGGGAACUGCGUGUGAUACUGGAUGGCUUGGAUUCGGGAGAGGAAUGCGGAAUUCCAGGUGUAGCGGUGAAAUGCGUAGAUAUCUGGAGGAACACCGGUGGCGAAGGCGGCAUUCUGGACCGAUAUUGACGCUGAGGAGCGAAAGCCAGGGGAGCAAACGGG